rnacentral:rRNA from 1 species
UACAGAGGGUGCAAGCGUUGUUCGGAAUUAUUGGGCGUAAAGCGCGUGUAGGCGGCUUUGCAAGUCGGGUGUGAAAGCCCUCAGCUCAACUGAGGAAGUGCGCCCGAAACUGCAGAGCUUGAGUGCCGGAGAGGGUGGCGGAAUUCCCGGUGUAGAGGUGAAAUUCGUAGAUAUCGGGAGGAACACCUGUGGCGAAGGCGGCCAUCUGGACGACAACUGACGCUGAGACGCGAAAGCGUGGGUAGCAAACAGG